GCCCGGAUAGCUCAGUCGGUAGAGCAGGGGAUUGAAAAUCCCCGUGUCCUUGGUUUCGAUUCCGAGUCCGGGCACCA
rnacentral:tRNA from 1 species